GCCGGGCGUGGUGGUGCGUGCCUGUAAUCCCAGCUACUCAGGAGGCUGAGGCAGGAGAAUUGCUUGAACCUGGGAGGCAGAGGUUGCAGUGAGCUGAGAUCAUGUCACUGCACUGUGGCCUGGGUGACAGAGCAAGACUCUGUCUCAA
ensembl:misc_RNA Metazoa_SRP Metazoan signal recognition particle RNA